rnacentral:lncRNA from 1 species
GGACUUCUUUGUCCUAUCCUCUUGGUCAGUCGUGGGCUUCACACACUCUGUACAGUGGCUCUUGUGCAGCGUGGCUCACUUACGCAUGGCCUAGCGUGCUCCGUGGUGUGCCCCUAUCCCGUCCACCAACCCCGUGGCAGUGAACGGGACGGGAGCUGUUGCUGACGUCCGUACCACAGAUGAGUAGGCAAGCCUUGGUCAACAGCCUACACGGAGCGUGCUAC